rnacentral:tRNA from 1 species
GCCCGGGUGGCGGAACUGGCAGACGCAGGGGGCUUAAACCCCCCUGACCGCAAGGUCAUGUGGGUUCGAACCCCACCCCGGGCA